CGGAAGUUUUUGUCGUGAACAGGUGAGGGGAAGCGAUGUUCUUCCGCUUGUCAUUCCUCUGCCAAUGCUCUCCUGCUUCGUCCUCCUUCAGACUCUUCGUCGCCUCUCUCACUCACUCUCUUCUGCCGUUUGCUUCUUCGGUUUCCUUGUUCUCAUUUCUUCCCUCCAAAUCGAGAUGCGGAGUAACGCCGUCUGUUUGGGCGCUUCCUGUUCCGAUCCCCUCCGCACUCCACGCAACUGUUCUGGCUGGGAAAGCGCAUCCUUUCCAUUUUUCAGCGGCGACGUCGGCCGUUUUACCCGUUUUUAGCCGUGUGUUUCUUCUUAAACAGAUUCCUUGUACGGUUGCGGAGGCUUCUUCAAAAUAAACGUUCGGCCUUAUGCAUGUCAAAGCAUCGUCUGUUUGCCUCAUUUUGCUAGUUUUUUCGGCGUCUAGAGUUAUACGGUCGGCUUCGCAGAAGCGAAUUCUGAGCGAUGAUGCUCUUUCACAGAAAGUGUUUGAAGUUUUGGUUCGCUGUAUGUAGUCGUGAUACAAUAUUUUGAGCGGAUAUUUGGGUCGUGAGUUCGGAUGGAUUUUGAGGCGUACGGAGAGCAUUUGAAGGAUGGAGUUGGCCUCUAAGGAGGUUCAGUUGGAGGCGUGGGCAACUGGUGGGAGGCCAAAGAAGGAUCACGAGAAGGAAAAUAAGAAGGGCGAGGACAUUGGCUGCUGGACUAAGUUUCGGGCCAUGGGGAAUUGUAUUUUGGCGAGAUCCAAAGUUGAUGCAUCUCUCAGCAGCAUCGGCACUCAGGGCGAAAUUAAAUCAACAGUUCAUGGUAGCAGCAAUGAUAAGUCAGCUACAGUAGUAUCUGGUUCAAUGACUGCGAGUAGUUCUUGUAGUAAUUCAUCUGCUUCUAAAGUAGGUGAAGAUAUAAAAGUUGCUUCGCAGUUGCGCAAAUUUACCUACAAUGACUUGAAGUCUGCCACAAGAAACUUCAGGCCAGAGAGCCUUCUGGGAAAGGGAGGAUUUGGUUGCGUGUUCAAGGGAUGGAUUGAAGAGAAUGGUAUAGCUCCUGUUAAACCUGGUACAGGACUUACAGUCGCCGUCAAGACACUUAACCAUGAUGGACUUCAAGGGCAUAAAGAGUGGCUGGCUGAAGUUAAUUUUCUUGGUGAUCUUCGGCAUCCAAAUUUGGUAAAGUUGAUUGGGUAUUGUAUCGAGGAUGAUCAGAGAUUGCUAGUAUAUGAGUUUAUGCCACGAGGAAGUUUGGAAAAUCAUCUUUUCAGAAGAUCCCUUCCUUUGCCAUGGUCAAUUAGAAUGAAAAUUGCAUUUGGUGCAGCGAAGGGUCUUGCUUUUCUUCACGAGGAGGCAGAAAGACCAGUAAUAUAUCGUGAUUUCAAAACAUCAAACAUUCUUCUAGAUGUGGAUUAUGAGGCUAAGCUUUCAGAUUUUGGGCUCGCCAAAGAUGGUCCUGAGGGUGACAAGACUCAUGUAUCAACAAGAGUGAUGGGAACGUAUGGGUAUGCAGCUCCAGAAUAUGUCAUGACAGGUCACUUAACAUCCAAAAGUGAUGUCUAUAGUUUCGGCGUCGUGCUACUCGAAAUGAUGACAGGUCGGAGAUCAAUGGACAAAAAUCAACCAAAUGGGGAGCACAACCUGGUGGAAUGGGCACGCUAUUAUCUAGGAGAAAGACGACGCUUCUACAAACUUGUUGAUCCUCGUCUGGAAGGCAACUUCUCAAUCAAAGGUGCACAGAAGGUAGCUCAACUCGCACAUGCCUGCCUCAGUCGAGACCCCAAGAUGCGCCCGCCCAUGAGCGAGGUGGUUGAUUCGCUCAGACCAUUGCUCAACCUCAAAGACAUCGCUAGCUCUUCCUACUUUUUCCAGACUAUGCAUGCGGAACGAUCUGCUUCCUACUCAAACGGUAGACUCAAGCGGUAGACCAGGAGCCUUUAGCGCGGUGUUUAUGCUUCUCGACAACAUCUGCCAAUGAAACCAAAUGGCAACCAAUCAAAGUGGUGCUACUUUUGCAGUUUGCUUUGCUGAACUGCAAAAUCGACUGUACAAUCUCGAGGAAUAUGGUUUGUGCUGAAGCAUUCCAUAUUUGUGCUAUCAUUUCUUGGUCACAGCAACUUAACGAGGCCAGAGGAAUAAACCAGGUAGACGCCCACGCCUCGCUCGCCCUUUUGUCCACGUAUCAAAAUAGCCACUCACUUUACCAUUUACCUUAUGCGAAUGCACACAUAACGCCCAGUUUCCGAUAUCCCAACCUCAUCUCAUCUAAGCCACACAAUUAGAUGAUCGAACGGACACAGUUCCAUCUAGACGAGAAUCAAGCUUGCCAGCCCCAUCUGUAUCGUAAGUGGAUAACGGAAUGAGAUUGGUUACGCUUUCGAAUAUAACGGGAAUAAAUGAAAACCUAUUCCAACACUGUCGGGUUUCUUUAUAGUCAUCGAGGAGCUGCUUUGUUCCGUUGCCUUUGGUUCAACGCUGCGCCGCCUCCGCUGAUAUCCCGAUCGAGUAAGGCGAUGGCUCCGGGUCUAUACUCCGAUAUCGGCAAGAGGACUAGGGAUCUUCUAUAUAAGGAUUACCAGACAGAUCAUAAGUUUACAGUCACGACAUACUCCUCUACCGGCGUUGCAAUUACUGCUUCGGGAACAAAGAAAAGUGAUUUGAUUUUUGGGGAGAUCCAGUCUGUGA